GACGAACGCUGGCGGCGUGCCUAACACAUGCAAGUCGAACGGAGAUACGAUUUCGGUUGUAUCUUAGUGGCGAACGGGUGAGUAACGCGUGAGCAACCUGACCUUUAGAGGGGGAUAACACUUGGAAACAGGUGCUAAUACCGCAUAAGACCACGACCUGACAUCAGGAUGAGGUCAAAGGAGCAAUCCGCUAAAGGAGGGGCUCGCGUCCCAUUAGAUAGAUGGCGGGGUAACGGCCCACCAUGUACGACGAUGGGUAGCCGAGCUGAGAGGCUGAUCGGCCACACUGGAACUGAGACACGGUCCAGACUCCUACGGGAGGCAGCAGUGGGGAAUAUUGGGCAAUGGGCGCAAGCCUGACCCAGCAACGCCGCGUGAGGGAAGAAGGCCUUCGGGUUGUAAACCUCUGUCCUUGUGACGAAACAAAUGACGGUAGACCAAGGAAGGAAGCCCCGGCGUAACUAACGUGCCAGCAGCCGCGGUAAU
rnacentral:rRNA from 1 species